CGGAGAGAAGGGCCCCAGCAUGACCUAAUGUUCUCUCCAUGGUGAGUUGGCCCAUUCUUUCUUCGGGGACUCUGUCCCUAUCCCAGAUGUUCUGAGGUCCUUUCCUUCCUCUCCCCAACUCUAUCCUCCUGGGAAAGGGCCACAGAAAGAGCCCAUCUACACUUCCUCUGGAGACACGGAAAGGGACGUCCAUACUGGCCUCAAGAAAAACAUCCUUCCCAGAGACACAGAGACAUCCUCCUCAGGGACACAGACUUCAAAAGAGACCCCUCCCUACACUCUGAGAGAAACCUCUCCAGAGACAGAGUGACCCUCAGACACACAAAGAGAACUCCAGAGACAGAGAAACUCCACUAGAAAGACGACCCAAAGACAGAGAGAUUCCUCCAAGGACAGAGACACCUUCCCAUCAGAGAUAUGGAGAGACCUCUCACAGAGACCAACGCCAUGCCACCUGCCCACCACUGAGAUACAGUGUCCAAAGACACAGAAACCCAUCCUCCAAAUGUGGAGAGCUCCCUAGCUGACCAUCUGUCCUGGCUGGGGCCCUCAGAGAGCGAGCCUGCUCGGGAGGCAGCUGCAAAUGCUCUUGACCAUGUCAUCCACCUCUGCCACCGCGUCCUGGCUGACCUGCUCUUUCAAGAACUGCAGGUCAGUCUCAGGAAGCCUCUGGCCCCCCUCCCAAACUGACUAGAAAAUGGGGACCUGGGGGUUGUGACAAGGGUCACAUCAGGAUCAGGCCGAGGUCCAGCUGAGCCAGAAACUGGACUAAGACAAAGGAAGAGAAGAAAGAAAGGGGACACAGAAGAAUGGAGGGAGGAGAUCGAUGUUUACACAGAAGGUCCAGCUUGGGGAGGGGGAAGGCACAACAUGGGUCUGGGCCUAAGCUCCCACAGGCUGCCACUGCCUAUUGACUGCUAUACUCAGGAAUAUGGAGGCCUGUGGCUGUGCCUGGGCCUGCUGGUCCAGGGUGGGUAUGACAUUAUAGCUGCUUUUGUGCCUAAGUCUGUGACUCUGUGUGGAAUCGGUGGGCAUCAAUUAGGUGAGUUUCAGCUUUGGCUACAUGUGUGUGCUCAACCCCUCCCACCCUCAUGAAGACAGUGAUGGGCUCUGGGAUCCGCCUAUCAAGGCUGGAAGGGGGCAGAAUUCCUGGUUCUUCUACCUAUGGACUCAAUGUCGUGGGUGGCACCUGAAGGGAGCUCUGAGUCAGAUGAACUCUGAUCUCUCCUUUCUCUGGACAAUUCCAGUCCCACUUCUCCAAAGUGAUGUGCCACAAGUAGCUGACCAGCUCUGAGGUUCUGGAUGGCAUUGUAGGGACCCUGGGAGCUCAAGCCUUGGCCCUACGAAGAAUGCAUGACCAGCCUUAUCAGGCCUGAUCUUGCCUGCCUGCCCAGCCACUGCCCUCGGCACCCUGCUCUGCCUCAUGCCCAG